UACGUAGGGUGCUAGCGUUGUCCGGAUUUAUUGGGCGUAAAGAGCUCGUAGGCGGUUCGUCGCGUCGGCUGUGAAAACCUGAGGCUCAACCUCAGGCCUGCAGUCGAUACGGGCGGACUUGAGUACUGCAGGGGAGACUGGAAUUCCCGGUGUAGCGGUGAAAUGCGCAGAUAUCGGGAAGAACACCCGUGGCGAAGGCGGCACUCUGGGACGGUACUGACGCUGAGACGCGAAGGCGUGGGGAGCGAACAGG
rnacentral:rRNA from 1 species